rnacentral:rRNA from 1 species
AGUGAACGCUGGCGGUAGGCCUAACACAUGCAAGUCGAACGGCAGCACAGUAAGAGCUUGCUCUUACGGGUGGCGAGUAGCGGACGGGUGAGGAAUACAUCGGAAUCUACUUUUUCGUGGGGGAUAACGUAGGGAAACUUACGCUAAUACCGCAUACGACCUACGGGUGAAAGCAGGGGAUCUUCGGACCUUGCGCGAUUGAAUGAGCCGAUGUCGGAUUAGCUAGUUGGCGGGGUAAAGGCCCACCAAGGCGACGAUCCGUAGCUGGUCUGAGAGGAUGAUCAGCCACACUGGAACUGAGACACGGUCCAGACUCCUACGGGAGGCAGCAGUGGGGAAUAUUGGACAAUGGGCGCAAGCCUGCUCCAGCCAUACCGCGUGGGUGAAGAAGGCCUUCGGGUUGUAAAGCCCUUUUGUUGGGAAAGAAAAGCAGCAGGUUAAUACCCCGCUGUUCUGACGGUACCCAAAGAAUAAGCACCGGCUAACUUCGUG